rnacentral:rRNA from 1 species
AUCGAACGCUGGCGGCAUGCCUUACACAUGCAAGUCGAACGGCAGCACGGGGCAACCUGGUGGCGAGUGGCGAACGGGUGAGUAAUGCAUCGGAACGUACCUUUCAGUGGGGGAUAACGUAGCGAAAGUUACGCUAAUACCGCAUAUUCUGUGAGCAGGAAAGCAGGGGAUCGCAAGACCUUGCGCUGAUUGAGCGGCCGAUGUCAGAUUAGCUAGUUGGUGAGGUAAAGGCUCACCAAGGCGACGAUCUGUAGCGGGUUUGGGAGGAUGAUCCGCCGCAAUGGAACUGGGACACGGUCCAGACUCCUACGGGAGGCAGCAGUGGGGAAUUUUGGACAAUGGGGGCAACCCUGAUCCAGCCAUGCCGCGUGAGUGAAGAAGGCCUUCGGGUUGUAAAGCUCUUUCGGCCGGGAAGAAAUCGCACGGGCUAAUACCCUGUGUGGAUGACGGUACCGGAAUAAGAAGCACCGGCUAACUACGUGCCAGCCGCCGCCGUAAGAC